rnacentral:rRNA from 1 species
AAAUUGAAGAGUUUGAUCAUGGCUCAGAUUGAACGCUGGCGGCAGGCCUAACACAUGCAAGUCGAGCGGUAGCACAGAGAGCUUGCUCUCGGGUGACGAGCGGCGGACGGGUGAGUAAUGUCUGGGAAACUGCCUGAUGGAGGGGGAUAACUACUGGAAACGGUAGCUAAUACCGCAUAACGUCGCAAGACCAAAGUGGGGGACCUUCGGGCCUCAUGCCAUCAGAUGUGCCCAGAUGGGAUUAGCUAGUAGGUGGGGUAACGGCUCACCUAGGCGACGAUCCCUAGCUGGUCUGAGAGGAUGACCAGCCACACUGGAACUGAGACACGGUCCAGACUCCUACGGGAGGCAGCAGUGGGGAAUAUUGCACAAUGGGCGCAAGCCUGAUGCAGCCAUGCCGCGUGUGUGAAGAAGGCCUUCGGGUUGUAAAGCACUUUCAGCGGGGAGGAAGGCGAUAAGGUUAAUAACCUUGUCGAUUGACGUUACCCGCAGAAGAAGCACCGGCUAACUCCGUGCCAGCAGCCGCGGUAAUACGGAGGGUGCAAGCGUUAAUCGGAAUUACUGGGCGUAAAGCGCACGCAGGCGGUCUGUCAAGUCGGAUGUGAAAUCCCCGGGCUCAACCUGGGAACUGCAUUCGAAACUGGCAGGCUAGAGUCUUGUAGAGGGGGGUAGAAUUCCAGGUGUAGCGGUGAAAUGCGUAGAGAUCUGGAGGAAUACCGGUGGCGAAGGCGGCCCCCUGGACAAAGACUGACGCUCAGGUGCGAAAGCGUGGGGAGCAAACAGGAUUAGAUACCCUGGUAGUCCACGCCGUAAACGAUGUCGAUUUGGAGGUUGUGCCCUUGAGGCGUGGCUUCCGGAGCUAACGCGUUAAAUCGACCGCCUGGGGAGUACGGCCGCAAGGUUAAAACUCAAAUGAAUUGACGGGGGCCCGCACAAGCGGUGGAGCAUGUGGUUUAAUUCGAUGCAACGCGAAGAACCUUACCUGGUCUUGACAUCCACAGAACUUUCCAGAGAUGGAUUGGUGCCUUCGGGAACUGUGAGACAGGUGCUGCAUGGCUGUCGUCAGCUCGUGUUGUGAAAUGUUGGGUUAAGUCCCGCAACGAGCGCAACCCUUAUCCUUUGUUGCCAGCGGUUAGGCCGGGAACUCAAAGGAGACUGCCAGUGAUAAACUGGAGGAAGGUGGGGAUGACGUCAAGUCAUCAUGGCCCUUACGACCAGGGCUACACACGUGCUACAAUGGCAUAUACAAAGAGAAGCGACCUCGCGAGAGCAAGCGGACCUCAUAAAGUAUGUCGUAGUCCGGAUUGGAGUCUGCAACUCGACUCCAUGAAGUCGGAAUCGCUAGUAAUCGUAGAUCAGAAUGCUACGGUGAAUACGUUCCCGGGCCUUGUACACACCGCCCGUCACACCAUGGGAGUGGGUUGCAAAAGAAGUAGGUAGCUUAACCUUCGGGAGGGCGCUUACCACUUUGUGAUUCAUGACUGGGGUGAAGGAAGUCGUAACAAGGUAACCGUAGGGGAACCUGCGGUUGGAUCACCUCCUUA